rnacentral:rRNA from 1 species
UCCCGAGCGUUNUCCGGAUUUAUUGGGCGUAAAGCGAGCGCAGGCGGUUAGAUAAGUCUGAAGUUAAAGGCUGUGGCUUAACCAUAGUACGCUUUGGAAACUGUUUAACUUGAGUGCAGAAGGGGAGAGUGGAAUUCCAUGUGUAGCGGUGAAAUGCGUAGAUAUAUGGAGGAACACCGGUGGCGAAAGCGGCUCUCUGGUCUGUAACUGACGCUGAGGCUCGAAAGCGUGGGGAGCGAACAGGAUUAGAUACCCUGGUAGUCCACGCCGUAAACGAUGAGUGCUAGGUGUUAGGCCCUUUCCGGGGCUUAGUGCCGCAGCUAACGCAUUAAGCACUCCGCCUGGGGAGUACGACCGCAAGGUUGAAACUCAAAGGAAUUGACGGGGGCCCGCACAAGCGGUGGAGCAUGUGGUUUAAUUCGAAGCAACGCGAAGAACCUUACCAGGUCUUGACAUCCCGUUGCCCGCUCUAGAGAUAGAGUUUUACUUCGGUACAUCGGUGACAGGUGGUGCAUGGUUGUCGUCAGCUCGUGUCGUGAGAUGUUGGGUUAAGUCCCGCAACGAGCGCAACCCUUAUUGUUAGUUGCCAUCAUUCAGUUGGGCACUCUAGCGAGACUGCCGGUAAUAAACCGGAGGAAGGUGGGGAUGACGUCAAAUCAUCAUGCCCCUUAUGACCUGGGCUACACACGUGCUACAAUGGCUGGUACAACGAGUCGCAAGUCGGUGACGGCAAGCUAAUCUCUUAAAGCCAGUCUCAGUUCGGAUUGUAGGCUGCAACUCGCCUACAUGAAGUCGGAAUCGCUAGUAAUCGCGGAUCAGCACGCCGCGGUGAAUACGUUCCCGGGCCUUGUACACACCGCCCGUCACACCACGAGAGUUUGUAACACCCGAAGUCGGUGAG